ACAGCACUCUGCAAACACGAAAGUGGACGUAUAGGGUGUGACUCCUGCCCGGUGCUGGAAGAUUAAAUGAUGGGGUGCAAGCUCUUGAUUGAAGUCCCAGUAAACGGCGGCCGUAACUAUAACGGUCCUAAGGUAGCGAAAUUCCUUGUCGGGUAAGUUCCGACCUGCACGAAUGGAGUAAUGAUGGCGGCGCUGUCUCCACCCGAGACUCAGUGAAAUUGAAAUCGCUGUGAAGAUGCAGUGUACCCGCGGCAAGACGGAAAGACCCCGUGAACCUUUACUAUAGCUUGGCACUGGACUCUGACACUAUCUGUGUAGGAUAGGUGGGAGACUUUGAAGCGUGGUCGCUAGACUGCGUGGAGUCAACCUUGAAAUACCACCCUGGUAUUGUCGGGGUUCUAACGCUGACCCGUCAUCCGGGUUGCGGACAGUGUCUGGUGGGUAGUUUGACUGGGGCGGUCUCCUCCCAAAGAGUAACGGAGGAGCACGAAGGUACCCUCAGCAUGGUCGGAAAUCAUGCAAUGAGCGCAAUGGUAGAAGGGUGCUUAACUGCGAGACCCACAAGUCGAGCAGGUACGAAAGUAGGUCAUAGUGAUCCGGUGGUUCUGUAUGGAAGGGCCAUCGCUCAACGGAUAAAAGGUACUCCGGGGAUAACAGGCUGAUUCCGCCCAAGAGUUCACAUCGACGGCGGAGUUUGGCACCUCGAUGUCGGCUCAUCACAUCCUGGGGCUGAAGCCGGUCCCAAGGGUAUGGCUGUUCGCCAUUUAAAGUGGUACGCGAGCUGGGUUCAGAACGUCGUGAGACAGUUCGGUCCCUAUCUGUCGUGGGCGUUGGAGAUUUGAGAAGAGUUGCUCCUAGUACGAGAGGACCGGAGUGAACGAACCUCUGGUGUUCGGGUUGUCACGCCAGUGGCAUUGCCCGGUAGCUAUGUUCGGACGGGAUAACCGCUGAAAGCAUCUAAGCGGGAAGCCUCCUUCAAGAUGAGAUCUCCCUGGGGCUUUAAGUCCCCUGAAGGGCCGUCGAAGACUACGACGUUGAUAGGUUGGGUGUGUAAGCGCUGCGAGGCGUUGAGCUAACCAAUACUAAUUGCCCGUGAGGCUUGACCAU
rnacentral:rRNA from 1 species